CUGGAGUCAACCUCUGUCUGUCAAGGAUCACAGUCCUUUCCAUAAUCAGGUUGAACUGAGAGAGAGGAAGAGGAGUCUGUGAGGUCCGGGUGGAGACGCUCCACCUGGACAUGUGCGGAAGGCUGGAGGCACGCUCCAACAGGAGACCGGAUAUUAAAGCAUCAUAUCAAACUUCGGUGAUAACAUCUGUAGUGCUAGCACCAGAGCAGAUAGCUCAUCCGUCUUAAGAAGCCUCCCUACCUCGUGAAUGACACACGCAUUCUGUAUUUACACUGAAGACUUCUGUAUUUUUUUUCAAUGUUUGUCUUUAGACCCAUCUGAAAUGUAUUUUCAUGUUUAGUGUGACACAGAGAUCUAAUUUGAUCUUUUUCCGAAUGGAUAACCAGUUGGCUAAGCACCAUUUAUUGUCCCAGCACUAUCUUUUCUCCCAGUUCCCUAUGUCUACACUCUAUUCAGGUCUGUUGAUCUGUUUGUCUACUUCUGGGCCAACACCAGAUUUUAAUAAGCAAAAGCUUUAUCUUCCAACCUGAUCAGAAUCAGCUUGUCGAAGUUCCAUGAAAAUCCUGUGGGAAUUUUGAGAGGGACUUCACUGAAUGGAGAAAUGACAUCUUUGGGAUAUCCGUUCCUCCCAUCCGUGAACAUGCUGAUUAUUACAACAUGAUGGAUUGACUAGUUCAUUCUCUCCACUGAGCUGAGAGGAAACUCCCUCACCAUGUCUAGGUGCUGUUGGGUGAAAACAUGAUGCUUGGAGCUCUGACAGCCAUCUUGUGACCAGGAGGGGAAGGCCAGGAGAUCCAACUCUGUGCUGACUCCAGCUUGAACACCUGGCACCACUGACUUCUGGACUUUCUUUGAAAUAAAUAAAAUGUUCUUACUGUAAGUCACUCUUGGGUGUUUUGUUAGCUGUUGGUGAAGGCAGCCUUCCUAAUACAAGGUAUCUAAGAGCUUCUUAGAGCUGGGAGGUGACCCCAAG
ensembl:lncRNA